UACGGAGGGGGCUAGCGUUGUUCGGAAUUACUGGGCGUAAAGCGUACGUAGGCGGCUUUGUAAGUUAGAGGUGAAAGCCCAGAGCUCAACUCUGGAAUUGCCUUUAAGACUGCAUCGCUUGAAUCGUGGAGAGGUUAGUGGAAUUCCGAGUGUAGAGGUGAAAUUCGUAGAUAUUCGGAGAACACCAGUGGCGAAGGCGACUAACUGGACACGUAUUGACGCUGAGGUACGAAAGCGUGGGGAGCAAACAGG
rnacentral:rRNA from 1 species